rnacentral:lncRNA from 1 species
UGAAUCAGUAGUUACUUUCCUAUAAAAAGACUUUUCUUAAAAAAAACAAAUAUAUUCAGAAUGCUUUUCCAAAAGUAAGCUACUUUCCUGCAUUUUUAAAGGAUUCAAAUUAUCGGUAUUUAAUUUAUUAAAAAUUUUAGGGUCAAAGUGAUGAUUCAUGGCAAUAACAGUAACAGCAGAGCAUCCCAUGUCCCAACACGAUACAGAAUAUUUUAUGGUAUUAUUCCUCCAACUAAUUCACAGCAAUGUUAUAAGGCAAGUACACUUAUCACCGUCACUUUAAACAGAGGGACCGCACAGCUAGUCAAUGAGUGAUAUGAACUUGAGGAGUCUGGCUUCACUGUCCUAACUAUUAACCACUUUUCAGUACCUCUUUAUAAGCACAUAUUUGUUUUUGCAUCUCGAUCCAGGUAGCAGUUUGCUCUAAUAGUCACAUAUUUGGAUAUGUCUUAUGGUGAAGUUUGCAGAAAGGCAAUCAGAAAUAAUUUGUAGAGUACAGAAUUUUUAGGUUAGUGCUUUCUAUAUCUGUAGCUGUGUAAACAGAUUCCCAAUAAAUCAUUUCUAAAUUUAAUUAUUAGAAAUCUACCAUAAUUAAUAAAUGCCAAUCAAUCUAUGAUCGCUUAAUAAAUGUCUACUUACAGCUACUUUCAGAUUAAACAUAAUCUUGCUCUAUAUUAUAGGAGGAUUCCUUCUUGUAAAGAGAUUGUGCCCUAGUAAGGGGUAUGAGAAAUACAUAAAACAGCAUAAUAAAGUAUUCAUAAAAUUAAAAGGCAGCUUUAAUAUUAUUAAAAUGUAAGACUACAUCUAGUAAUGUGUUUGUUGUGUACUGACUACAAACUACAAACAGAAUGAUGGUUACAGCCACUGGCCUUUAAUUAAUUCUCAUUUUCUGGUUUAAGGGGUUUUAAAAUUUUUUAAAUCUCAUUAAAGAUUAAUGCAACUUUUCUGUUGACACAUUGCACUGAAAUUUUGCUGCUGUGAUAUUUGUGAAAUUAACCUUUGAGGGAGAAAUACUUGGAAAAAACUUGAUUAGCAAAGCAUAUACCAAAACUCAUAAUUUUCAUUUAACAAUAUCUCUAUAAUACACAAAACAAUAUGAAAAAAAGUAAAUGCGAUAUUGAAUAAGGCCCAUUUGUUUUCUGGCCUUAUUUUGUAAAUUAUGUGCUGUUUUAUUACUUUUGUUGUUGUUUUUAAGCGGUGAUAGUAUCCAUAGAAACUUAUAAUUUGUUGCUUGUACUUCAUAUAAUAACAUUGGUUGUUUUCCAAGUAGCCGUCUCCAUAAAAGGGAAGAAAUGUUUUUAUAUCUCAGUAAUAUUCCACUGAUAUGCUUCAGCAUUGACUUCAUAUCUUACAGGUUAUCAUUAGAGGUCUUCUCCUAAUAAAGACUCAAACUAAGCUUUGAAGAAAGUAAUAAUUAAAAAAUUAAGACCUUGCAGUUGCAUGGUAAAAAUUAAUAGCCCUACUUAGAACAUUGAAAUAUUUUCUGUAAGCCCUAAUUACACAGAUAGUACAGUAGGUCUCGAUUGGCCUGAUUUGUAAGUGGGAAAGAGGAAACGGUUUGCCCUUGAAAUUAUUAGCAGUUUCAGAGGUGUUCACCGAAAUGCCCUAACGUGUAUAUCAUGAACUUUGCUUGAAACCAAACCCGGAUGUUCGUGACCACAGUUUCCCUUCUGCAACUUGUCUUAAAGUCUAAGUACAAACCAAUAAUUCAUUGUAUAGCUUUAAAUGUUUGUUUAUUUGCGAUGAUACACAUGUAAUACCUCACUUCUGAUUUAUUAUUAUUAUUAUUAUUGACAAUUUACAACUGUUUUUCUCCAAGGAGAAAAAAAAAAAGAUCUACCUUGGUGACUUUUUUGGGGAAAUUUCCACACAAUAAAUUCAAUAAAGUAUUUCUUUAAAUAUAUUCUUUAAGGAAGAUAGCAGUCCCUUUCACUGAGAAAGUCCUAGUUAUUUGACUAGCCUGUACUCUGAGCAAUGCUGGGCUCCUGACCCAAAUCUUUCUGCGGGAAUGUAUUCAGGGAUGUAUUUAGGGAAAAAGGAAGAAGAGGUUAUAGGUAUAUCAGUGAGAAUUCAAAAUCAAACAAUGUUUUUUUUGUUUGUUUGUUUUUUGUCUUUUUUUGGGCUGCACCCACAGCAUAUGGAGGUUCCCAGGCUGGCGGCUACAGCUCCCAUUAGACUCCUAGCCUGGGAAACUCCACAUGCCUCGGGAGCGGCCCAAGAAAUGGCAAAAAGACAAAAAAAAAAAAAAACGAAGCACUUAGUGAGAUGAGUGGUGAUUACCCUCCAGCUCACCUUGGUUUUUUAUGGAUUAGUGCUUUCAUAACCAUGCAAUUCUUAUCAUUCUUUUCAAUUUUAUAUAUUCCAAAACAACAUGUGGUUGAACAUCUGGAAAAUACAGAAAAAUGUGAAAGGAGAGCAAAAAAACUUCUAAUCCUGGCAGUCACAGACAAUCAUUGUUAAAAUUACUGUGUAUUUCAAUCUAAGAUCUUGGAGUUCCACUGUGGUUCAGCAGUAAUGAACCUGAUUAGUUUCCAUGAGGAUGCAGGUUCAAUCCCUGGUCUUGCUCAGUGAGUUAAGGAUCUUGCAUUGCCCUGAGCCGUCUGUAGGCUCAGAUCUGGCGUUGCUGUGGUUGUGGAGCAGGCCAGUGGCUAUAGCUCCUAUUUGACUCCUAGCCUAGGAGCUUUCAUAUGCCGCAGGAAGAGCCCUAAAAAGACAGAACAAAUUUAAAAAUUUUAAAAAUCAUAAGAUCUUAUUUGUCUGUCUUUCUACCUCUAGAGAUAAUAUUAUUUGUAAUUUUUAUAUUUCCUUGUAUAUAAUAAAAUGAAUAUUAAUACCUUGUAUAUAAUGAAAA